rnacentral:lncRNA from 1 species
AUCUGACCAGAAAAGCCAGACAUUGAGAGAUUUAGAUCAAACAGCCUUGAGAGAUUUCGAAUCCCAGAAGGGAUUUCAGAGUUGUUGAAGUCGUUGUAAGCAAGAUUCAGCCUUCUGAGCUGAACAAGAUGGAAGAGGCUGCUAUUAGAGUCGAUGGAGCCAUAAAGGCAGCUGCUACUGAGAUCAAGGCCGAUCACACGACCAGAGUCCCCAUCGCAUUCAACACCAUCCCAAGAGCAGCAAUCACCGCUUCCUCCAUCAACUUUCCAUGAUGCAACCUUAGGAUAGCAGAAGGAUCAUA